AUGUCGUUUUCACAGAGUGUC
rnacentral:siRNA from 1 species